CAGUGGAAUCACGGCAGAAGGCAGAAACCUCUUUGGAGGGUUAUUCCUGCUCCUCUUGGCAAAGCAGUCGGUGAUGGGGCUAGAAGUGGAGUAUCACUGUCUGAUUUAAAAUAUGUAAAAGACAUUCAGGACUCUGAAGGAGCUAAAGCUCAGGAAAAACCUCUUUGAAGUCACCAAAGGUAACUAUUGCAUGUUUUUGUACGUCUCUUGUUUUCUACACUCAUAUUACCCUGAAAUAGCAAAAGCUUGAAAAUCUAAUUAAAAAAAAUAACUCAGAGCAUAACAUUCUGAUCAGGUAAUAUAAAUUGCUGUGAGAGCAGAGAAGCACAGCUGUUAAUAAAUAAGCUAAUCAUUCAUUUAAG
rnacentral:lncRNA from 1 species